rnacentral:lncRNA from 1 species
AGGAAACUGGCAUAGGCAAAACAGUUAACAGUUUUAGGAAACAUGCCACUGCUGGGAAUGUAGCUAAAUCCCUGGUAAACCAGUGGAAAAAACUUAUCCCUCCAGAAAGUGAAAGUGGUCACAGAGUUAAACAAAAUACUGAAAAAGAGAAACAUGAGACAAAAUCUUCCAUUUCCAAGGAGAAUAAGCCUUCAGAGAAGUCCAAAGCAUCUGUACUGGCCUCCAAAAGCUCUUCCAUUUCUAAAAAGUUGAAUAAGGAGCAUACUCGUAUGGAAAACAAACACAGAAGUGGAGAUUCUGAGUCUCAAAAAGAAUGUGAUAGUAAAGAAUGUAGCAGCAGUGGUUCUAAGCAUGCUUCCCGGAGUGCCAAUCCUAAAGCUAAAAAAAGUAGCUUUAAAGAGACAGCCUCCACAGACAGCAAAAAACUUUCAGAAAAGCAGCAUUCCGCUGUAACCAAUAAAGACUUAUCCCACCUGAAGGAAAAAACUAGUAAAGGUACUUCCAAACAGAGAAAUCCUAAGCAUGUGAGGAAACCAAAACAAAAACUUGUCAUGAGAAACAAGGCUGAAUUACCUAGUGAUGAGGAAUUUGAGCCCCCUACUAUGUCUUUUGAAUCUUAUCUUAAUUAUGAUCAGGUUACAAAUAAAAGAAAGAGGAAGGCUUGUUCUACAAGUAAACAGCCAAAGAAGCACAGUGAACAGAAGAGCAGCUCAUUAACACAAAAGACUUCAAAAUUUCCUCGUGCAAAAGAGGAAGAAGAAAAUGUACAAAAAUCUGAGGAUGAUCAGUCAGAAACUCCCAGUAAAAAGGCCAAGAUGGCAUCCCUCCAAGAUCUUCUUAAUACUCCACUGCCUAAAUUUCUGCCAGGCAUCUCAGUCUCUUCUCCCCCAUAUGCUGCUG